rnacentral:rRNA from 1 species
CUACGGAGGGUGCAAGCGUUGUUCGGAAUCACUGGGCGUAAAGGGCGCGCAGGCGGUUUUACAAGUCAGAUGUGAAAGCCCACGGCUUAACCGUGGAAGUGCAUUUGAAACUGUAAGACUUGAGUAUCAGAGGGGAAGGUGGAAUUCCCGGUGUAGAGGUGAAAUUCGUAGAUAUCGGGAGGAAUACCGGUGGCGAAGGCGACUUUCUGGCUGAAUACUGACGCUGAGGCGCAAAAGCGUGGGGAGCAAACAGGAUUAGAAACCCGAGUAGUCC